AUGUCCUCCCCCUGGCCCCCACCCCUGAGCGAUGGGUGGGGGUCCUAAAUACCAAUUAGGGGGGGGAACCUAAUGUCCUCCCCCCUGGGCAUUAGGUCCCCCCCUAAUUAGUAUUUAGGGCUCCCACCCACCGCUCAGGGGUGGGGGCCAGGGGAAGGACAUUAGGUCUACCCU